rnacentral:snoRNA from 1 species
AAUGAUUAAAAAAAGAAUCACCGUGACGUCGGAGCACAGAGGAAGCAGCUAUUUCUACGCUAAGUGCUCAGAACAGUGGGCACUAAGAAUGGUUUGUAGCCGGACAGUA